CCUACGGGUGGCAGCCGUGGGGAAUAUUGCACAAUGGGGGGAACCCUGCUGCAGCACCGCCGCGUGGGUGAAGAAGUACUUCGGUAUGUAAAGCCCUGUCAGCCGGGAAGAAACUGACGGUACCUGACCAAGAAGCCCCGGCUAACUACGUGCCCGCAGCCGCGGUAAUACGUAGGGGGCAAGCGUUAUCCGGAUUUCCUGGGUGUAAAGGGAGCGUAGACGGCAAGGCAAGACUGGAGUGAAAGCCCGUGGCUCAACAACGGGACUGCUUUGGAAACUGUGUUGCUGGAGUGCAGGAGGGGUAAGCGGAAUUCAGAGUGUAGCGGUGAAAGGCGUAGAUAUUAGGAGGAACACCGGUGGCGAAGGCGGCUUACUGGACUGUAACUGACGUUGAGGCUCGAAGGCGUGGGGAGCAAACAGGAUUAGAUACCCGAGUAGUC
rnacentral:rRNA from 1 species